rnacentral:rRNA from 1 species
GUGAGGAAUUUUCCGCAAUGGGCGAAAGCCUGACGGAGCAAUGCCGCGUGAAGGAUGAAGGCCUAUGGGUUGUAAACUUCUUUUCUCAGAAAAGAAUUAUGACGGUAUCUGAGGAAUAAGCAUCGGCUAACUCUGUGCCAGCAGCCGCGGUAAGACAGAGGAUGCAAGCGUUAUCCGGAAUGAUUGGGCGUAAAGCGUCUGUAGGUUGUUUAAAAAGUAUUCUGUCAAAGAUUAGGGCUUAACCCUAGAUAGGCAGAAUAAACUUUUAAGCUAGAGUUUGGUAGAGGCAGAGGGAAUUCCCGGUGGAGCGGUGAAAUGCGUAGAUAUCGGGAGGAACACCAAAGGCGAAGGCACUCUGCUGGGCCAAUACUAACACUGAGAGACGAAAGCGAGGGGAGCAAAUGGGAUUAGAAACCCCUGUAGUCC